GAUGAACGCUGGCGGCGUGCCUAAUACAUGCAAGUCGAGCGGACGGACGAGAAGCUUGCUUCUCUGAUGUUAGCGGCGGACGGGUGAGUAACACGUGGAUAACCUACCUAUAAGACUGAGAUAACUUCGGGAAACCGGAGCUAAUACCGGAUAAUAUUUUGAACCGCAUGGUUCAAAAGUAAAAGACGUUCUUGCUGUCACUUCUAGAUGGAUCCGCGCUGCAUUAGCUAGUUGGUAAGGUAACGGCUUACCAAGGCAACGAUGCAUAGCCGACCUGAGAGGGUGAUCGGCCACACUGGAACGGAGACACGGCCCAGACUCCUACGGGAGGCAGCAGUGGGGAAUCUUCGGAAAUGGGCGAAAGCCUGACGGACAAACGCGGCGUGAGUGAUGAAGGUCUUCGGAUCUUAAACCUUUGUUAUUGGGGAGGACAAGAUGUGUACGAAAAUGUGCACAUCUUGACGGUACCUAAUCAGAAAGCCACGGCUAACUACGUG
rnacentral:rRNA from 1 species